GGGUGCUCGUAAGUGGUUGAUUUUUAUGAGUUCUGCGAUGGACUCAUAAUCCGUUGGUCGAUGGUUCAAGCCCAUCACGGCCUACCA
rnacentral:tRNA from 1 species